ACUGCCUUUGUUUCUCGCCUCUGUAACUUGCUUCCCGCCUCACGUAGUUCCCGCCUUACGAUGUUUAAAAAUAGGAAAAGCCCUUUGUUCGAGGCUCAGACUUUCUGGAUGAAUGUCCAGCUGAGCCGGUGAUCACCUUGAUAAACUCUCCUGAACCUUUUUCAGUCUCUCCAGUCUUUGUCCCGCGACACCAGGACCCUCUGGUCUCCCUCCCUGCAGCAGCAGCGCCUGUUUACAUGUGGCCAAAUACUGUGCUCAACAUUUAACACAGCUGACAUUGCAUUUUUUCUUUUUUUUUUUUGAGACAGGGUCUCACUGUGUUGUGCAGGCUGGAGAGCAGUGGUACAAUCAGGGCUCACAGCAGCCUCCACCUCCUGGGCUCAAGUGAUCCUCCUGCCUCAGCCUCCCAAACUGCUGGGAUUACAGGUGACAGCUGCUGCUCGGGGCCAGUGGUGGUAUUUCUCUCCCCACAAUCCCACAGGCAAGGCCCCACAGUCAGCCUGAGGGUCAAAUCCAACCUGCUGCCUGCUUUUGUAAAUAAAGCUUUAUCGGAACAUAACCACAUCAGUCUGCUGACAUGUGGCCUGUGGCAGCUUCAGACCAGAAUCGUAGAGCUGAAUGUCAGGAUAGAGGCUGCCACGCAAAGCUGAAAUGUUCACUAUCUGGUCCCUUACAGAAGAAGGCUGUCAGCCCUGCUGCCGGCUCUGGGGUGGGUUCGAUUCCUUGCCCCAGU
rnacentral:lncRNA from 1 species